rnacentral:rRNA from 1 species
UACGUAGGGGGCAAGCGUUGCCCGGAAUCACUGGGCGUAAAGCGCACGUAGGCGGUUUGCUAAGUCAGGGGUGAAAUCCUGGAGCUCAACUCCAGAACUGCCUUUGAUACUGGCGAUCUUGAGUCCGGGAGAGGUGAGUGGAACUGCGAGUGUAGAGGUGAAAUUCGUAGAUAUUCGCAAGAACACCAGUGGCGAAGGCGGCUCGCUGGCCCGGUACUGACGCUCAGGUGCGAAAGCGUGGGGAGCAAACAGG